rnacentral:lncRNA from 1 species
UUUUGGUUUCUCCCAAAAUCUUCAUGAUACAGACUGACUACCACUGUCAUGUUUUAGGUUAAAUAUUUUUUUCUUUUCCAAAUCUUUUGUAGAUCCAAGGUUGUUGCAAAGUUUGGUGAAACCAAUUUGUCUAAUAUUCCUUAGAAUUUUGUAAAGGAAACCUUUAGCCAUUGGCGAGGUGCCUUCAAGGUUACCGGCUUCACCUUUAGAUAACCUUAACCCGCCAUAAAAAGAAUUUGCGUUUCUUAUGAAUUCUGGCUUAUCCUCAUAGUGCUUAUUCCCUUCGUGCUAUUCAAUCUUUGCUUAUAACAUGCAUAACUUUUCUAACCUUGCUACUGGUAUCCAGGAAGGUCAUCAUGUUGAAGACGUCCACUUGUAAUUGGGUGUCUUCGCAAGUUUCAGAAAAUCUGCUUCAGGAAUAUGUAGAUAAGGGUUUAUUGUCCCCUAAACAAACACUCAGAUGGUGGGCUCCUCGGGGAGAGACAAGGCUGGCCCCUGGUAAAGGAGAGGUUGUGGUUUUUGUGGAUCAUGUUUUUAGGUGCUUUUCUCCUCCCG